AUGGUUAAGUUAGAAAGGGCGCACGGUGGAUGCCUUGGCACUAGGAGCCGAAGAAGGACGGGACUAACACCGAUAUGCUUUGGGGAGCUGUACGUAAGCGUUGAUCCAGAGAUUUCCGAAUGGGGGAACCCACUAUCUUUAGUCGGAUAGUAUCCUUACGUGAAUACAUAGCGUAAGGAAGGCAGACCCAGGGAACUGAAACAUCUAAGUACCUGGAGGAAGAGAAAGAAAAAUCGAUUUCCUG
rnacentral:rRNA from 1 species